rnacentral:rRNA from 1 species
AACUUUCCUUCGGGAAAGAUAUAAAGCGGCGUACGGGUGAGUAACACGUAAGUAAUCUACCUUCGAGUGGGGAAUAACGUUCGGAAACGAACGCUAAUACCGCAUAAUGCAGCGGCACCUAAUGGUGACAGUUGUUAAAGCAUUUAUGCGCUUGAAGAGGAGCUUGCGGCAGAUUAGCUUGUUGGUAAGGUAAUGGCUUACCAAGGCUACGAUCUGUAUCCGGUCUAAGAGGACGGUCGGACACACUGACACUGAAUAACGGGUCAGACUCCUACGGGAGGCAGCAGUCGGGAAUUUUGGGCAAUGGGCGAAAGCCUGACCCAGCAACGCCGCGUGAAGGAUGAAGUCUUUCGGGAUGUAAACUUCGUAAGAAUAGGAAGAAUAAAUGACGGUACUAUUUGUAAGGUCCGGCUAACUACGUGCCAGCAGCCGCGGUAAUACGUAGGGACCAAGCGUUGUUCGGAUUUACUGGGCGUAAAGGGCGCGUAGGCGGCGUGUUAAGUCACUUGUGAAAUCUCUAAGCUUAACUUAGAACGGUCAAGUGAUACUGAUGUGCUAGAGUGCAGAAGGGGCAACCGGAAUUCUUGGUGUAGCGGUGAAAUGCGUAGAUAUCAAGAGGAACACCUGAGGUGAAGACGGGUUGCUGGGCUGACACUGACGCUGAGGCGCGAAAGCUAGGGUAGCAAACGGGAUUAGAUACCCCGGUAGUCCUAGCCCUAAACGAUGAAUACUUGGUGUCUGGAGUUCUUUUCUCCGGGUGCCGUCGCUAACGUUUUAAGUAUUCCGCCUGGGGA